AGCAGCCGCGGUAACUCCAGCUCCAAUAGCGUAUAUUAAAGUUGUUGCAGUUAAAAGCUCGUAGUUGAACUUCGGGAUUUAUUCAUUGGUCAGGCUUAAUUGUUUGUACUGGUGAGAUAAAUCUCUACCUUCUGAGGAACUUUUAUGCCAUUUAUUUGGUGUGAUUGGAAAUCAGGACUAUUACUUUAGAAAAAUUGAGUGUUUAAAGCAGGCUAACGUCUGAAUACAUUAGCAUGGAAUAAUGAAAUAGGACGGACUGGUUCUAUUUUGUUGGUUUCUAGGAUCACCGUAAUGAUUAAUAGGGAUAGUUGGGGGCAUUAGUAUUCAAUUGUCAGAGGUGAAAUUCUUGGAUUUAUUGAAGACUAACUACUGCGAAAGCAUUUGCCAAGGAUGUUUUCAUU
rnacentral:rRNA from 1 species